CUUGGGGAGCAGACGGGGUCCAGCCCAGCUUCAUCCAAACAGGACGCAUUGUCCCAUAUGACCAGGAUAUGCGUCCUCUUUGGAUAUUGUUGGGCGAGAACUGAUCGCAGCAGCGGGGU
rnacentral:precursor_RNA from 12 species